AUAUAUAUAUAUAUUGUGAAUUCAUUAUGAUGAGUUCUUCCUGUUUCUAAACCACAGUUUUUGCUUCGGGACCUAACACACUCCCUACCCUGACCUUGCUGCCACCCUGCCAACCUGCUGUGGGAUAUGUUUGCCACUUUGGCCUACUGGUUCCAUCUGGUGUGGACACAGAGCCCCUCAAGGUCUCCCAAAGAGCCACGAAAGACAAAGUUGCAGGUGUGCGGACUUCCCUGCAGGGCCCAGGGUAAAGGGAGAAGAAGGUCCAGUACACGUGACCAGUUUUUAAACAGUGGCUUCCAGGACACUCUCAAAUCCUACAGGAUGUGAAAGCCCGUCUUCUCCUCACUCCCAGGCAUCCCUACGGGCUGCCUGACUCCCGGCAUUUCAGUAUCUUAGGUGAAUCUCACUUUGGUGGCAGUGACUACAUAUCUUGAGCUUAGGAGGAAGGAGACAAGCCUUCCAGAAUCCACAUUCUGGAUCUCCUGUGAAUCUUCUUUCCUGGUUCCCAUGGAGAACUCGGGGCUGUUCUUGUUCAUUUCAGGUGAAGUCAUGCUUCCUCCCCAGGGUGGGGCUCACCCACAUACCUGCUUGACGCCAGCUGGACCUCUCCCAAGCUUUGCCAGGCAAUCUCUGGUCCUUGGCGUGAAGAGCAGAGCUGCUGGCUUCUAUCUGCAGAGACCUCAUGUCUCGAGGCCAAGAGUGCUAUAUACUGUAACCUCAACACAGGCUGAGAUCCAUCGUGUUCCCAGGCCUGGGAUUAUUAAGGGCCUAUCUACGUGGGAUGGAAAUCCCAGGGACCGUCUUAGACUUGUCCAUUGCACUCAGCUUGAGGAAUGAUCAGUCAUGGCCAGUCAUGUCUUGUUUGACCACAGGAUAGACUUCCUUGUAAGCCCCCAUUGUUGAGGUUGACUGUCAGGAAGUGUAGUAGUUGUGCUCUCUGGAGUGAACUCUGCAAGGUUGGUGGGGAGAGGGGGGGGGAAGCAAGGCUGGGGAGACAAGGCUCCAGGAUGACCCUCAGGGGUGUCCCCAUAGAGGCAAAGUCAGGGCUUCUCAGUGAGGCACUUCUGAGGAUGCUGAGAGCAUCCUGCUUCUUGGCAACCCCCAGGCAGGUAGGGAUCAAGACCUUUGCUUCUAAGCCCUACGUGACAGCCCAGCUGUAGCAGUGCCCUGCUUUGUGGCCCCUUACUUCUGAGCCCUGUGUGACAGCCCUAGCAGAAUGCUACAUUGUGGCACCUUGCUUCUGAACCUUACAUACAGCCUUAGCAGAAUGCUACAUUGUGACACCUUACUAAAUCCAUAUCCAAGCAAGCUACCUUGAGCACAAGUUUUGGUCACCCAUAACUAACUUGCCACUUUCCGACCAGCAGAGCACUGGCUGGUCAAGAUACCUGCAUAAGGGCCCACAACUGAGUAAGGCCCUGAGCCCCAGUUCUCCCCACAGCCGCCUACAGAGCAGCUGAUGUGCAGAGGGACAGUCUCCAGGGAGGGAACUUGUGACCCAGUUUCAGUCUGAUUUUUGUCCUGUGACCAGGGCCUGCGGUGGCUUCAGCACCAUGAUUCUACCAUCAAGUUCUGGUGGGCAACCAACAGCAGCAGCCAAUUGCCUGUAUUGUUUUGGGGUCUCAGAAACCUCCUUGACCAGGCACUGCUCCCCUGGUACUGAGAUUUUCAUUUAAUAACCUUUGGCUUCUGAAAGCAGCUGUGCCUAUUCACAGGGUACCUCUACUCAAACUAAUUGGUUUUCACUUUUAUUUUUUAAUUAGUUUGGCAAGAAGCAUGUUUCCUUCUGGAUUUUUACACAUCCUAAGUUUGGUUGAACCACCUCCCCCAGCCUCUCUUCUCACCAUGUCCCAGAUAAGUUUAUUUUAAAAUGUUAGUAUCACAAUCCACUGGAAAGGACAGCCUUUGUAACUACCUGAACUUUUCAGGAGAUAUUUUAGACCUUAAUUAAAACAGAAGGGAUAUAAACACAAAAUUCUUUCGUAGGGACAGUAAGCACCGUGUUUAGAAUGUAACUGUUUUUGAGGAAGGGUGUAGCCCAGGCUACUCAAACUCACUUAGUCAAAGACCUUGAAUUGAACCUCCUGCCUCCACUUCCUAAGUUCUGGAAUUGCAGGCACAUGCCAACAAGCCUGGUUUAUGUGGUGGUUGGAAUAGAACCCAGAGCUUUGGGCCUAUAGGCAAGCUCUCUACUGAGCUAUAUCCUUCCUCCUUUUAAAAGUUAAUCAAGUAAUUAAUUUGUUAUUUUGGUUUUUUUGAGAGAGGGUAUUUGUAGUAGGAUGCCACUUGUUUAUUCCCGGCUGCUCAGGGCUUAAAUAACCACACAGAAACAGUAUUAAUUAAAUCACUACUUGGCUUAUUAGCUCUAGCUUCUUAUUGGCUAGCUCUUACAUCUGAAUUUAACCCAUUUCAAUUAAUCUGUGUAUCACCACGUGACUGGCUUACUGGCAAAGUUCUGUGUAGGGCUCUGGCAUAUGGAGAAGAUACUGUUCUGUUAAUAUAACCAGUCCAUCACCCCACACACAUGUAUUUAUGCUGCCCUCAGGACUGGUAAUUGUGUGAUCAUCCGAAGCCCGGGAAAAGCUGUAAGAAAAGCGGAAAGUGGUCUGGGAGCCGGCUAACUGGGUGAGGGCUUGGUCGGCAUGAGCACUGGGCGCACACCGUGAACACCUAACAGAAAAGCCAGGCUUUGCUGUUUCCCUCAACCCUAGCACUGGGGCAGACAGGCGGAUCUCCAGAGCUCACUGCUCAACCACCCCAGGCAGAAUCCUGAGCUUCCUCUCCACAGGGAGAUCCUAUCUCAAGUCGCACUCAGACCUCCACACUUGUGACACCUGCGUGUUCACACUCAUGCACAAGUGUGUGCUCACCUGCAGCACAGACACAGAGGAGAGGGGAGGGCGGGGAUAUCUCUGUGUAGUCCUGGCUGUCCUGGGACUCACUCUGUAGACCAGGCUGGCCUGGAAUUCAAGAGAUCCGCCUGCCUCUUGGGUGCUUGUGCGCCACCACUGCCCAGCGUGAGUUUUGGAUGUAAUGAACUGAAACCUUCCCUACUGGAGAGAUGAGGGAAGCUUCCAACAUUUAGGAAGCGAGGAACUCUUCCAAGGCUCAGGAAGUCAUGGGAUCAGGGAGCCCUUGCUGAGGAGAUGAAAGCAGGGAACUGUUGCUCAGGAAGAGGGGACCCCCAGCAGGACUGCCUGCAAGUCCGACAGGGGGCGCUGAGAUACAGCUUUCCAGUCCUCACCUGAGCUGCAGGGCACUGGUUCUCCACCUUCCUAAGGCUGGGACCCCUUAAUACAGUUCCUCAUGUGUGGUGACCCCAACCAUAACAUUAUUUCACUACAGUUUCAUAACUAUAAUUUUGGUAUUAUGAAUCAUAGUUAAACAUCUGAUACCCAGGGUACCCCAUAUUAGGCCACUAUGAAAGUGCUGACUGAAAAGGGGUUGCGACCCACAGGCUGAGAACUGCGGACUUGGGUGGCACCCUCUCUUUGCUCUGUUGUUGGUGCCUGACCUUGGGCGGUGACGUUUCUUCAUGUUCACCUAGAAAGAGUCAGGCCGUAGCCAGUGAUCUGAGCACUUGGGAGCUGAGGCAGGAGCACCCCGUCAAUCAAAGCCUGGAGGCAACAGGGUCUGUCACUAUCACUAAGUAACAGGACACUGAUGGAGGAAGGUCACUGAGCAAUAAAGAAACUGCUUGGCUGGCCCUGAUAGGUUAAAGCAUAGGUGGGAGGAGUAAACAGAAUAGAAUUCUGGGAGGAAGAGGAAGUGAGGUCAGACUCUGCUCUGCUCCUGGAGAGACCUGACAGCUCCGCUCUCCCGGGCAGAUGCACGCAAUAAAGCUCCUCCGACCCAGGAUGGACAUAGGCUAGAAUUUUCCCGGUAAGUGCACCUUGGGGUACUUACACAGAUGAUUAGAAAUGGGCUAAAUUAAUAUGUGAGAAUUAGCCUAGAAGAGGCUAGAUAGAAAUGGGUCAAGCAGUGUUUAAAUGAAUACAGUUUGUGUGUUGUUAUUUCGGGCAUAAGCUAGCAGGCGGCCGGGGUGCUGGGGACGCAGCCCCGCCGCUCUAAUUUCAACAGGACACUUAGGAAUAAAGAUGAUAAAUUUAUUUUUCCUCCACUGCGAGGAAGGAAACUGACGAACACGAGUUGUGUUCACCCUCCACGCAGAAGGGAUCUCAGGACAGUGAGAUGGAGGGACAGGUGACUCAGACACUGGCAAGGGUGAGACUCUGGAUCCAGGAAGCCAGAGGGCAACAGUCCUACACAGCUCACCUCGUGACGCCAUGUGCAGGGCUGCUGCCCACAGGACACUGUCCGCAUGUCCUGCUGCUGGGAAUGUCUUUGGAGGGCACCGUCUGCAGGGCUGCUGCCCACAGGACACCGUCCGCAGUGUCCUGCUGCUGGGAAUGUCUUUGGCGGGCUCCAUCUUAGCACCCCUGGCACACAGAAGCCAACUUCAAAGUAGCACCUGCCAAAACCCCGAGUGUUGGCUCCAGUGUGUGUUCUGUGAAACCAUGGCAGCGGCAGACCCUCAGGCAGAUAGACAAAAGGACAAUAUGUCUGUGCCGAGUACCGCACUAUGAUGGGGUUGGGGCACAGCGGGGAACUUGGUCCCUGCGCGAAGCUUCUGCACUAGAGGGGAGACAGACACCGAGGGAACCAAGCAGGCCAGGUACACGAGGCUACACUGGGGGUGGGGGGCUUCGGUAACACCUGCCCCCAGGGCCCAGGAGAAAUACAAGGUUGUCUGAAGUAUCAGAGCCUGCUGGGCUCUGUACUUCAUACACAUGUACAUUCAUGUGUCCACACCUGUCUGCAAAUACUCAUACAUUCGUAGGCGCUGGGAAAGAAACACAACAGGGACCGUUAGAUGACCUGCCUACGACAGACACUCAUGAGCAGCAAUGUAAAGUUAGUUACAGGCACCUGCAGACGGCGGUACACAAUCCACUCUUCCUUCGCCUUAGUAUUUGACACUGUUUCUUUAGCUACACAGAUGCUGAGACGGGGUCCCUGAAUACUGCUGGACGGGCGAGGUCGGCCUGGUGUACAGAAGAACAAAGAAAAGCUACAUACAGAAGCCGGCAUGGGCUGUCAAUGGUGCUCCAGCUUACUCCUUCCGGAAUGAUUCCACUUCCGUCUGCUGCCGGCAUCUUCUGCUCCUACAAGCGCUAGACUGCCUAUCCACUAUGUAACGCCAGCUCCUCUCCACUGCUUCAGCCCCUUCUGAGUUCUAGCCAGACGCCACUGCUGUGGCAAGUCAGGGGUUAGGAAGUGCCAGUGCAGACAACAGCACCUUUGAGACAUCUUAGGGGCUA